rnacentral:rRNA from 1 species
AUACGGAGGAUGCAAGCGUUAUCCGGAUUUAUUGGGUUUAAAGGGUGCGUAGGCGGUUUGCUAAGCGGGAGGUGAAAUGCCGGCGCUCAACGUCGGAAGUGCCUCCCGAACUGGUGGACUGGAAUGACUCUGCCGUGGGAGGAAUGUGUAGUGUAGCGGUGAAAUGCUUAGAGAUUACACAGAACACCGAUUGCGAAGGCAUCUCUCGAAGGGUUGAUUGACGCUGAGGCACGAAAGCGUGGGGAUCAAACAGUAUUAGAUACCCUGGUAGUCCACGCAGUAAACGAUGAUGGCUAACCGCUGGUUUAUUCGGAUCAGUGGCCAAGCGAAAGCGAUAAGCCAUCCACCUGGGGAGUACGACCGCAAGGUUGAAACUCAAAUGAAUUGACGGGG